AAAUUGAAGAGUUUGAUCAUGGCUCAGAUUGAACGCUGGCGGCAGGCCUAACACAUGCAAGUCGAACGGUAGCACAGAGAGCUUGCUCUCGGGUGACGAGUGGCGGACGGGUGAGUAAUGUCUGGGAAACUGCCUGAUGGAGGGGGAUAACUACUGGAAACGGUGGCUAAUACCGCAUAAUGUCGCAAGACCAAAGAGGGGGACCUUCGGGCCUCUUGCCAUCAGAUGUGCCCAGAUGGGAUUAGCUAGUUGGUGAGGUAACGGCUCACCAAGGCGACGAUCCCUAGCUGGUCUGAGAGGAUGACCAGCCACACUGGAACUGAGACACGGUCCAGACUCCUACGGGAGGCAGCAGUGGGGAAUAUUGCACAAUGGGCGCAAGCCUGAUGCAGCCAUGCCGCGUGUAUGAAGAAGGCCUUCGGGUUGUAAAGUACUUUCAGCGGGGAGGAAGGUGUUGUG
rnacentral:rRNA from 2 species